rnacentral:rRNA from 1 species
GUGGGGAAUUUUGGACAAUGGGCGAAAGCCUGAUCCAACCAUGCCGCGUGCAGGAUGAAGGCCUUCGGGUUGUAAACUGCUUUUGUACGGAACGAAAAGACUCUGGUUAAUACCUGGGGUCCAUGACGGUACCGUAAGAAUAAGCACCGGCUAACUACGUGCCAGCAGCCGCGGUAAUACGUAGGGUGCAAGCGUUAAUCGGAAUUACUGGGCGUAAAGCGUGCGCAGGCGGUUAUAUAAGACAGAUGUGAAAUCCCCGGGCUCAACCUGGGAACUGCAGUUGUGACUGUAUAGCUAGAGUACGGCAGAGGGGGAUGGAAUUCCGCGUGUAGCAGUGAAAUGCGUAGAUAUGCGGAGGAACACCGAUGGCGAAGGCAAUCCCCUGGGCCUGUACUGACGCUCAUGCACGAAAGCGUGGGGAGCAAACAGGAUUAGAUACCCGGGUAGUCC